rnacentral:rRNA from 1 species
AGAAUCAACGCUGGCGGCGUGCCUAACACAUGCAAGUCGAACGAGAAAGGGGUAGCAAUACCCUGAGUAAAGUGGCGCACGGGUGAGUAACACGUGACUAACCUACCCUUGAGUGGGGGAUAACUGAGGGAAACCUUAGCUAAUACCGCAUAAUACCCACGGGUCAAAGGAGCAAUUCGCUCGAGGAGGGGGUCGCGGCCGAUUAGUUAGUUGGCGGGGUAAUGGCCCACCAAGACGAUGAUCGGUAUCCGGCCUGAGAGUGCGCACGGACACACUGGAACUGAAACACGGUCCAGACUCCUACGGGAGGCAGCAGUGGGGAAUUUGCGCAAUGGGGGAAACCCUGACGCAGCAACGCCGCGUGGAGGAUGAAGUCCUUCGGGACGUAAACUCCUUUCGAUCGGGACGAUUAUGACGGUACCGGAAGAAGAAGCCCGGCUAACUUCGUGCCAGCAGCCGC